GACGAACGCUGGCGGCGUGCUUAAUACAUGCAAGUCGAACGGACAGGCCCUGCUUUUGUUGGGUUCUCGUUUGCCGAACGGGUGUGUAACACGUGUGUAUCCUGCCCUUGACUUUGUGAUAACUUCAGGAAACUGGGGCUAAUAUCGGAUAUGAUCUCCUGCUCCACGGUGGGCGUUGGAAAGUUUCGGCGGUUGGGGAUGGACUCGCAGCUUAUCAGCUUGUUGGUGGGGUAGUGGCUUACCAAGCCUUUGACGGAUAGCCGGCCUGAGAGGGUGACCGGGGACAAGGCGACUGAGAGACGGAGCAGAAGGGUACCGGACGCAGCGGGCGAAAGUAUGGCGGAGUAAGGGGACGCGUGAUGCAGCAGCGUCGGGUGCGGGAAAACGGGCUACGGGGUAUGAACAACUGUGGAAUGAAACGUGGAGGGAGUGACGGUAAUGGAUAAAGAAGCAACGGCUAACUACGUG
rnacentral:rRNA from 1 species